UUUGUUUUGUUUUUAAGUCAUUCAUAGAACUACUUAUCAAUGAUAUAAUGUUGUGGUUGCAUGAGUUUAUUUAUAGUUACAUAAGAUAUUGAACAUUCUGUUAGAUUUUAUCUGAUAAUAUAUAGCAAAACCUAAUACUGAUAGGGUAUGGUAUGGCUCACAUUAAUAUCAAAAUUCAAGAAUAUGUAUGUCUAUUUUCAAAUUUAUAAAAAAUGCCUAUAUUAAGAUCAAAUAACUCAAGACAUACACUUCACACUUUCAAAGAAUGAAUAUACUGAUGAGUCCUUCCAUCCCAAGUACAAAAAUCUUGCUUGGGUAUGAUGAAAAGUGCAUCAAAGGAAAAAAAUGACUAUUCAGUGUAUUUGAUGUUUUUGUUGUAAAUGAAAAUUCCCCCCUCCCCCCUUAAAUAUAUAUAUAUAUAUAUAUAGAACAUCUUUAUCUUAUGUCUUCGUUUCUUCCUGCGAUAUUUGAGACUGGUUAUUAAAUGCAUACAUUACAUAGGAAAAAUAUAUGCUGUACAUGAAUUUCAAAUCUUUAUCUGUUAUAACAUCUCAAUCAGUUAUAAAAAUUCAAUGAUUUAUAACUUUGAGUGUUUCUAUAGGUUAUUGUCUAUGGUGAUUAAAAUAUGCUUGGUCUUUCCUAGGGUGGAUAUUUUUAGUUUACCUACAUCCAAAAAUAACAUGCAAUGUAGUCAGUUCGCAUUGUGUAAAAUAUUUUAAAAUUCUCUAUAUUGACAACUUCAUACCAUUUAUAAUAUUAAUGUUUCAAAAACAUUGUAACUGUAUCAAUUAGACUUAACAGCUGCGCAUUUUCCAUUUUAUUUUUCUGUUUUCUUGUCUUUUUUUUUCCUACUCAUUACUUGUAAUCAAAAUACAUUCCUUUGUUUUGUAGUCUGCUUUUUAUUUUAUAUUGUGCAUAGACCACAAUCGCAUGCAAAAGGAUCUGGGCUAUUUUUCUCAAGUAUGUAUAUUUUCUUUUAAAGCAAAAGUAUUAGACUUUUUGGAUAGAUAUUGAUUUUCUAAGCAGAAAAUGGUCUCCCCUCCCUCCCUCUCAAUUUUUACACUGGGAGGCAGUGAAGAGGCAUAAGUGUUUCCUCAUGUAGA